rnacentral:tRNA from 1 species
CAAUUGAUAUCUUAAGAAUAAGAAUUGAUUUUUUAAAUCAAAUAUAGUAAAUUUCUAAUUACUUCAAUUGA